rnacentral:rRNA from 1 species
UACAGAGGGUGCGAGCGUUAAUCGGAAUUACUGGGCGUAAAGCGUGCGUAGACGGUAGCGUAAGUCAGAUGUGAAAGCCCCGGGCUCAACCUGGGAAUUGCAUUUGAGACUGCUCGCUCGGGUGCGGAAGAGGGAAGCGGAAUUUCCGGUGUAGCGGUGAAAUGCGUAGAUAUCGGAAGGAACACCAGUGGCGAAAGCGGCUUCCUGGUCCGACAACCGACGUUCAGGCACGAAAGCGUGGGGAGCAAACAGG